ensembl:lincRNA Fzd10os frizzled class receptor 10, opposite strand
AGCCCCAGCUUGGGGCUGGACCCCAGCCUCCAGCCUCACCUCCUGCCGGCCUCUCUGCUAGCCCUCCCCGCCCCAGGGGGGGUGGGUGGGAGGCCUUGAGAUUGUCCCCGGUACCCCAAGGACGCCGAGGUUACGGGAAGUUUGGGAACCCGGGCCACAGGAUCAUGUAGGAGAUGCCCCUCGGGCUGCUGUUGUGAGGGGGUUUCCACAUUAGGUUAAUUGAAGUUGGAAGCCUCACCCUAGCUGCGAGCAGUACCAUCCAUAGGACUGAAGAAAAAGGAGAAAAUGAGCCAGACACCAGCAUCUCUCUCUCUCUGCUUCCUGACCCGAUGCAACGUCAGCAGCUGCCUCACAGACUGGUUACCGGUUACCGUGGCUCCCCGCUAUGAAGGGCUGUGCCCUUAAACCGUGAGCCGAAAUAAGCCCUUACUUAGUUGCUUCUUGUUGGUUGGUCUGUCACAGCAAACUAAUAGUAAGACAGAAUCCCAGAAAUCGAUCGUUUAAAAGCCAACAUGAGUCACUUGGACAACAAGCCUUUGAUGCAUCCAGCUACUGAGCUCCUGGGACAAACCAAGAUACUUGAUUGUUACAGGAACCGGUGAAGCAAGAUGAAGGAAGGAGUCCCUUCCUCUCCCAGAUGGGAAACGGAGUCCCUAGAGUCACGUUAUAGCUGUGAUCUGAGGAGCCCCAUCUGGUUCAGGGGUCCCGGGUAGACAUCUGCCUCGGAACAGCGUGUACCCAGGAAAUGUCAGCAGCCAGCUGGGGGCUUCCGGGAACAGACCCUGGGUGGCUGUCAUCAGUCCUCCUGGACAGAGAAGCAUCUGUGUUCUACAGUCUCUUAAGAGGGCCGUUCAAAGUCAGAGAUGGAAGGGGAGAGAUGUGUAUUUAUGACCUCAGCUGUGGGAUCUCAGGCUGGUUACUUAACCUCUCUGAUCCGCUUUCUGUUUCCUCUGCAUUAAAAUGAAGGUAAUAACACCAAUUUUAUUUAUUUAUUUUUAAGACUUGGGAUGGAGUGAAAGGAAGGAUUUAGAAGCAGGUGUGUUGGGAAUUACUAGCCAGCAGACUCCCUGGCUAGUUGAGUGUGUGAGUGUUUGCCUGUAAGUGUGCCUGUACACACGCCUACUUGGUGGCUGAGGAGGCCAGAAGAGGGUGGUCAGAUCUCCUGGAACUGGAGUUAUAGGUGGUUGUGGGCCACCAUUUGGGUCCCGGGAAACUGAACCUGUGUCCUCUACAAGAGCCGCAAGGGUUCUUAACGGCUGAGCCAUUUCUUCGGCCCCCUUUCUUCAAUUCUCCAUUGUCCUGCUGGAAGGCGGGAUGGCUUCGCUGACGACCUCAUGCAGGAGUGGUACCCAUUUCCUUCCCCGUGGAUGGCUGAGCAUGUCGCUUCCUCUCUCUGUCUUGAGUGUAGCCAGGGAAAAGGAACUGCAGCUCUUCCCCGGAUUGCAGAGUGGGAGACAGAGCAAGGGCCCCAGAACAGCUCCCUGGAUGCUCCUGGCUAUUGAAUUAACUGCAGAACCUCCUCUGUGGCUGGGGUCUGACACUGUUAUCCUUCCUGGCCUUACACACACAGAUCCAGCUCAGCCUCACAAUCCAGUGGUUCCUGAAGCUUGUGUCCUGCCUGCCCACCUUCAUCCACAGGGCAACUUGGGAACCAGACUUAUCUCUGUGGUAUAAGGCCCCAGUAUCCCGAGUUCUUCCAGGAGAGGGAAGACAGCAAAGACAGUGAGGGAGAGAGCAGACAUCUGUCUCUGGGGUGCUUAUCUGUGUGGAAGAGACCGGUCCUUCCUGAUUGGCUUCAUGUCCCUCAAGAUCCCAAGAAGGCUGUGGCCAAUGUCCCUAUUUCAAAGCCAGAGAAUAGGGGCAGAGACUCAGCAGCCUGCUCCUGGGUGCGAAGAGACAAGGUCAGGUGCAGCCUAUGCUCACAGUCUUGGAAGCUUGGUGGUGGUGGAGCUCCACUUUCUGUGUGCCUGUGUGUGCAUAUAUCUGUCUGUGCUUGCGUAUGGAGGCCAGAGGACAACCUUGACUGUCGGUCACAAAGUGCUUUUCACAUUUUGUUGUGCUGGAACAUCACCUAAGAAGUGGAUUAAACUGUUCAGUAAGCCUCAGGCGUGCAUCUGUCUUCACCUUCUCAGUGUUGAGAUUACAAGCUGGAGCCUUGCAUCUGGCCUUCAACAUGGAUUCUGAGGAUCCAACGCUGGGCUCUCAUGCUUACAAGGUGUUCUCCUGGCUGCUCAAGUAUUUACCCAUCUGUGUGUGACUCAUAUCCAGGCACCCAGGCGGCUUCCCUUCAGUCGAUUGCUGCCUCCGGAAGAUGAGCCUCCCCUGCCGCUCCACAAGGUUCAAGUGCUUCAAUGAAAUGAAAGAGAACUCCAGUCUG